rnacentral:rRNA from 1 species
AGUCGAACGGUAACAGGAAGCAGCUUGCUGCUUCGCUGACGAGUGGCGGACGGGUGAGUAAUGUCUGGGAAACUGCCUGAUGGAGGGGGAUAACUACUGGAAACGGUAGCUAAUACCGCAUAACGUCGCAAGACCAAAGAGGGGGACCUUCGGGCCUCUUGCCAUCGGAUGUGCCCAGAUGGGAUUAGCUAGUAGGUGGGGUAACGGCUCACCUAGGCGACGAUCCCUAGCUGGUCUGAGAGGAUGACCAGCCACACUGGAACUGAGACACGGUCCAGACUCCUACGGGAGGCAGCAGUGGGGAAUAUUGCACAAUGGGCGCAAGCCUGAUGCAGCCAUGCCGCGUGUAUGAAGAAGGCCUUCGGGUUGUAAAGUACUUUCAGCGGGGAGGAAGGGAGUAAAGUUAAUACCUUUGCUCAUUGACGUUACCCGCAGAAGAAGCACCGGCUAACUCCGUGCCAGCAGCCGCGGUAAUACGGAGGGUGCAAGCGUUAAUCGGAAUUACUGGGCGUAAAGCGCACGCAGGCGGUUUGUUAAGUCAGAUGUGAAAUCCCCGGGCUCAACCUGGGAACUGCAUCUGAUACUGGCAAGCUUGAGUCUCGUAGAGGGGGGUAGAAUUCCAGGUGUAGCGGUGAAAUGCGUAGAGAUCUGGAGGAAUACCGGUGGCGAAGGCGGCCCCCUGGGACGAAGACUGACGCUCAG